UACGUAGGGUGCGAGCGUUAAUCGGAAUUACUGGGCGUAAAGCGUGCGCAGGCGGUUCGUCGUGUCCGAUGUGAAAGCCCCGGGCUCAACCUGGGAAUGGCAUUGGAAACUGGCGGACUCGAGUGUGGCAGAGGGGGGUGGAAUUCCGCGUGUAGCAGUGAAAUGCGUAGAGAUGCGGAGGAACGCCGAUGGCGAAGGCAGCCCCCUGGGCUAACACUGACGCUCAGGCACGAAAGCGUGGGGAGCAAACAGG
rnacentral:rRNA from 1 species